rnacentral:rRNA from 1 species
UACGUAGGGGGCAAGCGUUGUCCGGAUUUAUUGGGCGUAAAGAGCGUGUAGGCGGCCAAGCAGGUCCGCUGUGAAAACUCGAGGCUCAACCUCGAGAGGUCGGUGGAAACCGUUUGGCUAGAGUCCGGAAGAGGAGAGUGGAAUUCCCGGUGUAGCGGUGAAAUGCGCAGAUAUCGGGAAGAACACCCGUGGCGAAGGCGGCGCUCUGGGACGGUACUGACGCGGAGAAGCGAAAGCGUGGGGAGCGAACAGG